rnacentral:lncRNA from 1 species
AUGUUACGGCUCUUUUGGCGAGGAAGACCGUUGCCAACCCAAGGAUUGUGCAGCCACGGCCUCCGUGCAGAAGCACUGUGGUCUGUCGAGCACCACCGGUUCCCUGGAAGGGAAUCUCAUUUGGAAAGGCCGAGGGGAGCGGCGCACAGGAAUAACGAUUUAACCUGGAGGCUGCUAAACGGACCUUGUCUGCAGCCAGGCGCACCCACAGAAAAGAAGCCCUCAAGCCCCGGAAUCAACCUGAACUCCCGAGUCCUCAGAUCCAGGGCCCGGCCCAAUCCCGCUCACUGGGUCAUUGCUGAAGGGCCCACUAGGGAGAACUCACAUCUCCAGCCCAGAGGACAAGGACCUUUGAAGACCAGUGAAGGAGGAGGUACAUCCUAAAAUCUAGCAAGUCUACAGCGGCCUGGUCCUGGUAGGAAAAUUUGGGAACCCGAAGGCCAGGAAACCAUGAGGUUCAGGAUUUGUGCCUAAUCUCGGGGACAGAACUGGUUUGCCGAUCUAGAGGCUUAUUGCCAUCCAGGAGCUAUUCUGGGCAAAGUUGGACUUUGAAACGCUGUGCCAUUCUCCAGAGAUAUUCACGAAAGUCACACGGAGGUCCGUGACUUGCCUGUGGACUGUAGCGGGCAGAAAGAGAAGGCCUGACAGGUCAUCCUACUUGGCUGGCAGAGACGUCGACGGCACGGCAACCAUAUAAAUGUGGGCUAAUGGGCUUUGGUCACGGCCUACCCACGUUCCGGUCCAGGCUGAACGUGUUCCUGCCGGCUCCCUGGAAGGUGGGCACUGAGGGCACUGACCAGUGAUACCCCUGCUCUCUCUGGCCUCCACAGAGGCAGUUGGCAGGACACAGACAGUCUGGGAGAUCCCAGACCCAUCACAGGACAGGAGGAAACACUGGAGUGGGCCAGGGCAGCAUCACAGGGUCUUUGAGAAAAUUCCUUGCUGUUCCUCCACAGGGGCUGCCGCGGGGAUAGCCGUGCCGAAUCCCAAAUCCUCCCGUGGAAGGGUGGGCCGAGUGCUCGGUAGCCUGCGUAGACUCAUCCUUAACAUUUGGAGCACUGACUAAAUACCAAGCGAUUUCUGAGAUACCACGGGACCGUCUUAGAGGAGGAAGAUGAGCCAGUGUGGAAUCCCACCGCCACCCCCAAGUCCCAUCGCAUCCCAGUGAUGACCAGAUCAGAGCCAGAGGGUCCUUAAUGACCAGGAGAACAUGAGAAACCUCAGUUUCCUCUAGGGAUCCACAGUAUACCAUGGUGAGCUGCAGUCAACCACAGCUAAUCACAAAGACACGGACAACCACAGUGAGCGACAGUGAACCCCGGUGAACCGCAAAGACAUGGACAACCCCAGUGAGCUGCAAUGAAGCACAGGAACAUGGUGAACCCCAGUGAGUUGCAGUGAACCCCAGUGAAGCACGGGAACGUGGCAAAAACCCCAUGAGUUACUGUGAACCGCAGUGAAGCAAUGGAACACAGCUAGCAUUGGUGAACUUCUGAGAACCCCAGCGAAUCAAUGAAUUAAUCAAGUUUAUUGAGCAUGUACUUUGUGCAGAGCAUAGCACUAAGUAGUCAGGAGAGUCCAAUACACCAGAGUUGGAAGACACAACCCCUGGCCAAAGUGAGCUGACCGCCUAGAGGGGGAAGGGGACAUUAAUAUAAAUAAAUUAUGGUUAAUGUAUAUAAGUGCUUCUGAGGCUGAGGUAGGAGUGAACAAAGGGAGCAAAUCCAAGUGCCAGGGCAACACAGAAGGGAGUGAGAGAAGUGGAAAUGGGGGCCUGGUCUGGGAAGGCUUCUUAGAGGAAAUGAGCCUUCAGUAGGGCUUUGAAGGUGGGGAGAGUGGUUGUCUGUCAGUAUGAAGAGGGAAGGUAUUCCAGGCAAGAGGCAGAAUGUGGGCAAGAGGUCAGCGGUGAGACAGAUGAGAACGUUAGCAUCUGAGGACAGAAGUGCGUGUCGGUCGUUUUGUAGUAAUAGAGCAGCAAGGUAAGGUAGGAGGGGACGAGGAGACUGAGUGCUUUAAAGCUGAUGGUAAGAAGUUUCUGGUUGAUGCAGAGGUGUGUGGGUACUCACUGGAGGUUCCUUUAAGAAUGGGGAAACUUAGUAAGAGUUUGCGUAGGAAAAUGAUCUGGGUAGCAGAGUGAAGUAUGGACCGGAGUGGGGAGAAACAGGAGUCAGGGAGGUCAGCGAGGAGGCUGAGAUAGUAAUCGAGGUGGGAUAGGAUAAAUGCCCGGAUUAACGUGGUAGCGAUUUAGAUGGAGAAGAAAGGGCGGAUUUCGGUGAUGCUGUGAGGGUUCAGCUGACGGGAUUUAGUGACAGAUUGAAUACGUGGCUCGAGUGAGAGAGAGGACUGGAGGAUAAUGGCAAGAUUACAGACCUGUGAGACGGGAAGAAUGGUAGUGCCAUCUUCGGUGAUGGGAAAGUCGGGGGACGACAGGGAUCUCGCGUGACGCCUGACUCUCCCGCUGCUUCCCUCGUCGCCCGGUCGGUCGGUCCGGCGGCUGAGCGUGAAAUGUCUGGUGGUGGCAUUCUCUCGCCGCCUCCCUUAGUCGGCUCUCAGCAGGGGAUGAGGCAUUGUGAGGUUCACGGGUUCUCAGGCCGGGACAUCACUGGAGACUGGCUGUCUCCCUAAGACAGCCGUGGGGGGAUGUGCCUCGUAUUCACUGGGAGAGCGAAGGUAGAAUUCAGUGGCACUAACUGGCCACUGGAAGGAGCUGGCCAGGCAGCUGGCACCUUCUAGGAGGUCGCACUUAGGGGUGGGCCGGCAAGGAGAAGGCCAUUCUGGAAGGUCAAAUGCGUGGCAUGGCCUUGUCCACUCUCACCGCCCAAUCAGAGCCCAACCAAGUGGCUCCAAUAGCCUGGUCUAACAGGAGGAUCAAGGGGCCGGGAGCCAGAAUUCCCAGGUUUGUUCAAUCGAUCGAUGGUAUUUAUUGAGCACUUAGAAUGUGCUGAGCACUGUGCUAAGUGCUUGCUUAGGCCCGAGUAAAGAGAGUUCAGAGGCUCAAGGAGGAGAGUGGGAAAUUGAUACAGAGCUGAAGACGGAAGAGUGGGAGAUGGACGUUAAAAUGAAGCGAUCCUUUUCCCGUGCCACUCCUUGAACCUAGGGCACACCGUGGAGCGAGUCAUUUAGCCUCUCUGAGCCUCAGAUUCCUUCUCUGUCCAGUGAGGA